rnacentral:rRNA from 1 species
AUUGAACGCUGGCGGCAGGCCUAACACAUGCAAGUCGAGCGAGCGGCGGACGGGUGAGUAAUGUCUGGGAAACUGCCUGAUGGAGGGGGAUAACUACUGGAAACGGUAGCUAAUACCGCAUACCAUCAGAUGUGGCACGGUGGGAUUAGCUAGUAGGUGGGGUAAUGGCCAACCUAGGCGACGAUCCCUAGCUGGUCUGAGAGGAUGACCAGCCACACUGGAACUGAGACACGGUCCAGACUCCGACGGGAGGCAGCAGUGGGGAAUAUUGGACAAUGGGCACAAGCCUGAUGCAGCCAUGCCGCGUGUGUGAAGAAGGCCUUCGGGUUGUAAAGCACUUUCAGCGGGGAGGCGUUACCCGCAGAAGAAGCACCGGCUAACUCCGUGCCAGCCGCCGCGGUAAUAC